rnacentral:rRNA from 1 species
UACGGAGGAUGCAAGCGUUAUCCGGAAUGAUUGGGCGUAAAGGGUCCGCAGGUGGCAGUGUAAGUCUGCUGUCAAAGAAUGAGGCUUAACCUCAUCAAGGCAGUGGAAACUACACAGCUAGAGUACGGUCGGGGUAGAAGGAAUUCCUGGUGUAGCGGUGAAAUGCGUAGAGAUCAGGAAGAACACCGGUGGCGAAAGCGUUCUGCUGGGCUGUUGCUGACGCUGAGGAGCGAAAGCGUGGGGGAGCGAACAGG